CCUACGGGAGGCAGCAGUGAGGAAUAUUGGUCAAUGGCCGAGAGGCUGAACCAGCCAAGUAGCGUGAGGGAAGACGGCCCUACGGGUUGUAAACCUCUUUUGUCGGGGAGCAAAGCGAGUCACGUGUGACUCAUUGAGAGUACCCGAAGAAAAAGCAUCGGCUAACUCCGUGCCAGCAGCCGCGGUAAUACGGGGGAUGCGAGAGUUAUCCGGAUUUAUUGUGCUUAACGGGUGCGUAGGCGGCGCUUCAGGUGAGCGGUGAAAUACCGGGCCUCAAACCCGGGGCCGCCGUUGAAGCCGGAGCGAUAGAAGGCCGAUGCCGUCGGAGGAAUGUGUGGUGGAGCGGUGAAAUGCAUAGAUAUCACACAGAACACCGAUUGCGAAGGCAUCUGACGAAUCGGAGAUUGACGCUGAUGCACGAAAGCGUGGGUAUCGAACAGGAUUAGAUACCCGAGUAGUC
rnacentral:rRNA from 1 species